CGUGAGGCGGCUGGUGGGCUUGGUUCUGGGAACCAUCUCUGAGGUGGAGGAAGAUGACUGCACACAGCAGAGCAGAAGCUACCUUCUCAGGAAAAGGCUGCAGUCACAGAGUGGCGAGAGCCCCAAGGCCCGGGCCCUGGACUGUGUGCAGCCCUGCAGAGUUUCAGAGCAAAGUGCAGAGAUGCAGAGCCCCCGGGAGUCCCACUGGAGCAGCUCAGCACAUAGCCACUACCUCCUGUUUGAGAACAGCGCUCUUGUAGGUACAGCACCCCUCAGGCAGCAGGACAGCCAGCAGCUCAGCUUGGGGUCUGUGUUCCUGGCAGAAGCAGAAAGAUCACGGCCAGUGACUGCCCAGCAGAGGUUCCUGCAGAGGAAGGGAAAGGUGAGCAGAAAAGACUCGGGGACCUCUCAGAGGGGUUGGGCAGGACUGUGCUGUGCAGGCUGAAGGUGGGCAGGGUCCUUGGGGACCAGGAUCCCAG
rnacentral:lncRNA from 1 species